rnacentral:rRNA from 1 species
UACGUAGGUGGCAAGCGUUGUCCGGAAUUAUUGGGCGUAAAGCGCGCGCAGGCGGUCCUUUAAGUCUGAUGUGAAAGCCCACGGCUCAACCGUGGAAGGUCAUUGGAAACUGGGGGACUUGAGUGCAGAAGAGGAAAGUGGAAUUCCAAGUGUAGCGGUGAAAUGCGUAGAGAUUUGGAGGAACACCAGUGGCGAAGGCGACUUUCUGGUCUGUAACUGACGCUGAGGCGCGAAAGCGUGGGGAGCGAACAGG